ACGCACGCUGGCGGCGUGCUUAACACAUGCAAGUCGAACGGAAAGGCCCUGCUUUUGUGGGGUGCUCGAGUGGCGAACGGGUGAGUAACACGUGAGUAACCUGCCCUUGACUUUGGGAUAACUUCAGGAAACUGGGGCUAAUACCGGAUAGGAGCUCCUGCUGCAUGGUGGGGGUUGGAAAGUUUCGGCGGUUGGGGAUAGACUCGCGGCUUAUCAGCUUGUUGGUGGGGUAGUGGCUUACCAAGGCUUUGACGGGUAGCCGGCCUGAGAGGGUGACCGGCCACAUUGGGACUGAGAUACGGCCCAGACUCCUACGGGAGGCAGCAGUGGGGAAUAUUGCACAAUGGGCGGAAGCCUGAUGCAGCAACGCCGCGUGCGGGAUGACGGCCUUCGGGUUGUAAACCGCUUUCGCCUGUGACGAAGCGUGAGUGACGGUAAUGGGUAAAGAAGCACCGGCUAACUACGUG
rnacentral:rRNA from 1 species